rnacentral:rRNA from 1 species
GACGAACGCUGGCGGCGUGCUUAACACAUGCAAGUCGAACGGAAAGGCCCUGCUUUUGUGGGGUGCUCGAGUGGCGAACGGGUGAGUAACACGUGAGUAACCUGCCCUUGACUUUGGGAUAACUUCAGGGAACUGGGGCUAAUACCGGAUAGGAGCUCCUGCUGCAUGGUGGGGGUUGGAAAGUUUCGGCGGUUGGGGAUGGACUCGCGGCUUAUCAGCUUGUUGGUGGGGUAGUGGCUUACCAAGGCUUUGACGGGUAGCCGGCCUGAGAGGGUGACCGGCCACAUUGGGACUGAGAUACGGCCCAGACUCCUACGGGAGGCAGCAGUGGGGAAUAUUGCACAAUGGGCGGAAGCCUGAUGCAGCAACGCCGCGUGCGGGAUGACGGCCUUCGGGUUGUAAACCGCUUUCGCCUGUGACGAAGCGUGAGUGACGGUAAUGGGUAAAGAAGCACCGGCUAACUACGUGCCAGCAGCCGCGGUGAUACGUAGGGUGCGAGCGUUGUCCGGAUUUAUUGGGCGUAAAGGGCUCGUAGGUGGUUGAUCGCGUCGGAAGUGUAAUCUUGGGGCUUAACCCUGAGCGUGCUUUCGAUACGGGUUGACUUGAGGAAGGUAGGGGAGAAUGGAAUUCCUGGUGGAGCGGUGGAAUGCGCAGAUAUCAGGAGGAACACCAGUGGCGAAGGCGGUUCUCUGGGCCUUUCCUGACGCUGAGGAGCGAAAGCGUGGGGAGCGAACAGGCUUAGAUACCCUGGUAGUCCACGCUGUAAACGGUGGGUACUAGGUGUGGGGUCCAUUCCACGGGUUCCGUGCCGUAGCUAACGCUUUAAGUACCCCGCCUGGGGAGUACGGCCGCAAGGCUAAAACUCAAAGGAAUUGACGGGGCCCCGCACAAGCGGCGGAGCAUGCGGAUUAAUUCGAUGCAACGCGUAGAACCUUACCUGGGUUUGACAUGGAUCGGGAGUGCUCAGAGAUGGGUGUGCCUCUUUUGGGGUCGGUUCACAGGUGGUGCAUGGCUGUCGUCAGCUCGUGUCGUGAGAUGUUGGGUUAAGUCCCGCAACGAGCGCAACCCUUGUUCACUGUUGCCAGCACGUUAUGGUGGGGACUCAGUGGAGACCGCCGGGGUCAACUCGGAGGAAGGUGGGGAUGACGUCAAGUCAUCAUGCCCCUUAUGUCCAGGGCUUCACGCAUGCUACAAUGGCUGGUACAGAGAGUGGCGAGCCUGUGAGGGUGAGCGAAUCUCGGAAAGCCGGUCUCAGUUCGGAUUGGGGUCUGCAACUCUACCUCAUGAAGUCGGAGUCGCUAGUAAUCGCAGAUCAGCAACGCUGCGGUGAAUACGUUCCCGGGGCU